rnacentral:rRNA from 1 species
AGUUCGACUCGUGCACGAGACGACGCUGGCGGCGUGCCUAAUACAUGCAAGUCGAGCGCGGGAAGCGGACGGAUCCCUUCGGGGUGAUGUCCGUGGAACGAGCGGCGGACGGGUGAGUAACACGUGGGCAACCUGCCCGUAAGACCGGGAUAACUCCGGGAAACCGGGGCUAAUACCGGGAUAGGCUUUUGCCCCGCAUGGGGCAAAGGGAAAGAUGGUUUCGGCCAUCGCUUACGGAUGGGCCCGCGGCGCAUUAGCUAGUUGGUGAGGUAACGGCUCACCAAGGCGACGAUGCGUAGCCGACCUGAGAGGGUGAUCGGCCACACUGGGACUGAGACACGGCCCAGACUCCUACGGGAGGCAGCAGUAGGGAAUCUUCCGCAAUGGACGCAAGUCUGACGGAGCGACGCCGCGUGAGCGAGGAAGGCCUUCGGGUCGUAAAGCUCUGUUGUCGGAGACGAACAAACGCCAUAGGAAAUGAUGGCGUCCUGACGGUAUCCGACGAGAAAGCCCCGGCUAACUACGUG